rnacentral:rRNA from 1 species
UGUGCAAAGGUAGCAAAAUAAUUUGUUUUUUAAUUUAAAACUAAAAUGAAAGAUUAGACGAGAAAAAUUAUUUCUUAAAAAAAUUAAUAAAAUUUAUUAUUAAGGUUAAAAACCCUUAACUACUCAGGGGGACGACAAGACCCUAAAAUCUACUUUUUAUUAAACUUUAUUAGAGAAAAAUUACUUAAAAGAUUACUGGGGCGGUAAAAUAUCCAAACAUUUUUAAUAUUACACAAAUUGUUUGGCCUAAGUUAACACUUUUGUUACUUAAUUUAGAUACUUUAGGGAUAACAGCGUUAUUUUUCUACAGAGUCCCCAUUGCCAGAAAAGUUUUCGACCUCGAUGUUGAAUUGAGUUUACUAGAUUAAGCAA